rnacentral:rRNA from 1 species
AACGUAGGAGGCAAGCGUUAUCCGGAUUCACUGGGCGUAAAGCGCGUGCAGGCGGUUCGGUAAGUUGGGCGUGAAAUCUCCUGGCUCAACUGGGAGAGGUCGUCCAAUACUACCGGGCUAGAGAGCAGUAGAGGAAGAUGGAAUUCCCGGUGUAGUGGUGAAAUGCGUAGAUAUCGGGAGGAACACCAGUGGCGAAGGCGGUCUUCUGGACUGUUUCUGACGCUCAGACGCGAAAGCUA